CUUGGCUCAGAGUGAGUAGAACCUGUAAGUAUGAUGGAAUAUCACACUUGUGAUUAGGUUACUAACCAGUUGACUUAGAAUUAAUCAAAAGGAAGAUUAUCCUGGAUGGACCUGAUUUAAUCAAGUGGAAGAAAGUGAAGUGUCAGAGAAGAGAGCCCUGCUGGCAUAAGGAAAGCAAACAGCCAUGUUGUAAACUGCCUGUGGAGCUUAGAAGCCCAUCCACAAACCAUUGUAUAGCAGCCACUGGCUUGGAGCCGCAUGCUUUCUCUCAACCCACUGCAGUCUCCUAACUCGAGGCACCCCCAGG
rnacentral:lncRNA from 1 species